rnacentral:lncRNA from 10 species
AGAGCACUCACUGCAGCCUAGUGUGGGAUGGAGGCCAAGGAAGGUGCCCCAGAAAGGGGGAUUUCUAACCAUUUACAAUAAAUGACAGAACAGUUGGACAAUCUGCAACUUGCUGAUUGCAAAAAAUGUAUCACAAUGUUUGGAAUGGUGCAGUGGCAGCUAGGGGAGCUCUGGGGAAAUGGUGUCCUUGGAGCAGGGCUGGGACAAGAGCCGUGGGCCUGGCUUCCUGAGGACAGUGAACAAAUAGCCUUCCCCUGGGUAGAUCAGCCCAAAAGCAUAUCCCAGCAGAAAAGGUCUACUUCCACCAAGCUGACAACCCAGUGGGAGAAUCUAGGUGUACCCUGAGAGAGAUGCUGCAUUCAUAUACAUUCAUUUGGAUGACAAGAGUUCAUUCAUUCAUUGAUUCUCACUGAGCACCUAUUCCCUGCACUGAGAACUGGUGGUACACAGAGGAAUCCGAGGAGAGACUCUGCCCUCGAGGAGCUGACGGUAGAAGAAGGAAGCCAUGCACUUAUAGUCAUUCAUUCACUCAGGCAGACACUCAU